AGAAGAGGAAAUUGGAUUUGGAGGAGAGUUGCGAUGCGAUUCGGUUGUCGUGGUCGGAGACGGCGAGGCCAAGCCGAGUAACCGGCCACCGCCCCCGGGAGCUUCGGGCUUCUCCAAAUCGAGGAGCACGUUUCAACGGUCUGACGUACUUCAACUCAAGCAAAGAAUGAGUGAGGCUGGACUCGUCUUCUCCGCUCCUUUUUAGGAAGAUACUGAUGUUAUAGUAAAUUUCUGUGCCAACUGACUGUGAUCAGCUGAAGAAUCCCAGCUCAGGACUCUAUCUAACUAUCCUCGGGUGCAGACUCUGUACUCUACCGCAUUUAUAAGUUGGUGCAGAUUAGAACUCAUGGAAAAUGUUGCUAGCUCGAUAAGAAAGGUGCCGACAGUCUUUACACUAAAUGGUAGGAGGGAUAGGUGAUAGAGUUGUUGAGGAGUAUAGAGGGGAGAUGUACGUAAGUGGUGGGAGAUGGGAAAGUGUUUGAGGAGUAAAUGCAGAGGGAAAUAGUGGAGGAGAUUGGGGAGUGAGUUUAAGGGUUUGGUUCUUGUAUUUAUGAUGGAGGACGAACACCAUACAAUCUUUCUUUUACUUCAUUGUGUGUGAUAGAGCAGGUAAGGAAUUUUUCUAUGCUUGUUAUUA